ACCAGCACAACCAAAUAGAGACAAUUGACAGUGCAUGAGACCCCAGAAGAAAAAGAUAACGAAAAAUAUGCUGCCCUACCGUUCCACCUAACUAAGAUGCCCGUUGUAAAGAAAAUAGCGAAAGCAUCACAAACAAAAUUAGCUCCUAAAAGAGGCCCUACAAUCUUCUCAUACCUAAGGAACGACAAAGACCACUUAGACGACACGAACAAAUCAGGCAUAUACACCAUUCCAAUAUACGAUAAAAUAAGGACCAUGAAUAAAGAAUAUAUAGGAGCCACAACGCGCACGCUAGCAGAGAGGCUGAAAGAGCAUAA
rnacentral:lncRNA from 1 species